CUGGAGGUAUCAGAAGUGCGAAUGCUGACAUAAGUAACGAUAAAGCGGGUGAAAAGCCCGCUCGCCGGAAGACCAAGGGUUCCUGUCCAACGUUAAUCGGGGCAGGGUGAGUCGACCCCUAAGGCGAGGCCGAAAGGCGUAGUCGAUGGGAAACGGGUUAAUAUUCCCGUACUUGGUGUUACUGCGAAGGGGGGACGGAGAAGGCUAUGUUGGCCGGGCGACGGUUGUCCCGGUUUAAGCGUGUAGGUGUGUGUUCCAGGUAAAUCCGGUUCACUUUAACACUGAGGCGUGAUGACGAGGCACUACGGUGCUGAAGCAACAAAUGCCCUGCUUCCAGGAAAAGCCUCUAAGCAUCAGGUAACAUCAAAUCGUACCCCAAACCGACACAGGUGGUCAGGUAGAGAAUACCAAGGCGCUUGAGAGAACUCGGGUGAAGGAACUAGGCAAAAUGGUGCCGUAACUUCGGGAGAAGGCACGCUGACACGUAGGUGAAGUGAUUUACUCACGGAGCUGAAGUCAGUCGAAGAUACC
rnacentral:rRNA from 1 species